AUAGAACCCAGGCCCUCAGCAGUGAAAGUGCAGAGUCCUAACCACUGGACCGCCAGGGAAUUCCCUGAAAGCUCAUUCUUGUCUGAAGAGUACCGUUCUGUGUGGCCCCAGAUAAAUUUUUCCAGGCAGCUGUGUCUGAGACGCUGGUCCUCCUGUAAAGCCUCCCAGACGACCCUGGGCACACAGACAUGGAAACAGUACUAUCUCUGCUGAUCCGAGCUGGAGUUCCGAAUGGAAUCUGGGUGGCCAGAGAAGGACUUUAUCUGCAAAGCCAUUGCUGGGCACAAAGGAGAGAUAGAUGAGCUGGCCUACAUCUCAACCAAAGAGUACUGGUUUGAUGGGCGGGAGAAGUCCGUGGUGUGCACCGUGUCGUCAGAUGGCACCGUGUGUGCCUGGGAUCUGCAAGAGUUGAGCUGCCCAGGAGGGGGCCAGGAUGAGAAGUGACCAGAUGCUGCUAUGUCCUCAGUCUUAG